CUGAAUUACAGGCAGAGGUUCAAGAACUCUGUGAGAAACAGGAACAACGUAAUCUAAAAGGAACUAGUGAGGCUCAAGGGAGGAAGGAUGAACUAGAGCAAGUAAGGGCACUUCCCCUUGCCAUGGACAUAGCCCUACAGAAUGCGGAGAGUGACAGGUUCUGCUUGAGUAAACAACCUGAAGAAAGUCAAGAGGAAAUGAAACUUCUAAUUAAGAAAAGAGAAGAGCUGAGAAACACAAAAGAGGCCCUUCAUAUAGAAAGGGAGCAGCAGGAGAGCAUCAAGGAAUUGGGCACUAAGGUUCAAGAACUUAAGACAAGUGAGCUUCAACUUCUUAUGUUAAAAGAAGAUGUAGGUGAAACCCAGAAGCAGCUCAAGGGGCAGGGAGAUGGAGAUGGAGAAUUUAAACCUUGCUCACAAGACUCCUCAGAACCUCUCAAAGAAGAAAGUGAUGACCUAUCACGAAUAAAGAAAUAACUGCUUGAAGACAGCCUAAGGGAAGAUGAGGAUAAGACUCCUCGGAGACUGACAGAAUGCCUACCCUGACGUUUAUUGUGACCUCCCCCAGCCCUCUGUUCUCAAGAAUAUCAGUCAGCAACGUGAUCCGCCCACCUUCUGAAGAGCAAGAAGAACAAGUUUCCAGCCUUCAGAGGAGGGACUUGACCUGCCUUUGUAUCUUGGGAGAGAGGGAUUAAAGAUGGAGAGCUGAACCAGAAGCCAUGUUUUUGUCUCUCUCCAUGUGUUUUCUCUUGCCACCCAUCCCUAUACCCAUCUCUCCUUCCAGGGAACCCACCGUUAGAAUGUAGCAGCUGGUCUCUACAGUUUUUUCUUUUAAACUCUGAUAAAAUUACUCUUAAGCUUC